CACAGGGCACGCACACGUUGGGGGCCCAUCCGCGGCCGGCCGACAGGACGCGGGAGCCCACGGCCGGCCCGGUCUGCAACGGGCGAGCCCGAGGCCAGGGCGUCCUGGAGCCGGACCGACCCGGGACCGGCGAGCUUGGGGCUGGAUGAGCCCGGGGCCCGGCGAACCUGGAGUCGGGCGAGCCCGGGACCGGACCGGCCAGGGAAUGGCGAGCCCACAGCCGGACGGGCCAGAGGCCGGCCGACCCCGCCCCAAGGGAGCCGGGAGCUGGCCGGGCUCCGGCCCGGCCACCCUGGGCCCCCGCCUCGCGCACCAAGCCCAUGGGCCGGUCCCGUUCAGAGCUCCGGUGGCCCGGCCUGGAUCCGGGUCUCCCCCCCAGGACAAAGCCGGGGCUCGUGGCCACCCGGAGACUUGGGUCAGCCGGGGCAGCGCAGCGGGGAGGGGUCCUUUGGAGCUGAGGCUCCGGAGGCUCCGACCCUCCCUUCCCCUGAGGUCCCGCCGUCGAGCGGGGGUCUCGGAGGGGAAUUUUUUUUUUUUUUUGUGUUGGACAUCAGAAUUAAUAACACUAUUUUUGAUUUUGUUUGGAGAUCUCGUUUUCUGCGGGGCAGGGAGAGAGGGUCCCCGGGGCCACCCCCUCCUGCCCAGAGCCGGGCGGAGGUAGGGGGACUGCUGGGAGGAGGGGGCGGAGGAGGGCUUGAGCUUCGGUCCGCUCAAAGCAGCGGCGGGGCCUGCCUCCAAGGCAGCCACUCCUGUUCCACCUGCCUGCCCGACUCUUCCCACUCCCGCCCGCCCCGCCACAGUUCCUUCCCGCGCACCGUCGGCUCCAUCCCGACCUCUCCUCCGUUGAGAAGCGGCGUGGCUCAGUGGAAAGAGCCCGGGCUUGGGAGUCAGAGGUCACAGGUUCCAAUCUCUGCCACUUGUCAGCUGUGUGACCAUGGGCCGGUCACUUCUCUGGGCCUCAGUUCCCUCAUCUGUCAUAUGGGGAUGAAGACUGGGAGCCUCACGUGGGGACAACCCGAUGACCCCCGUAUCUUCCCCAACGCUUAG
rnacentral:lncRNA from 1 species